rnacentral:lncRNA from 1 species
GGAGCGUGGCGGCUUCCGCAGCCUGGAGCAGGGGCAGUUCGCCCCGGCCAUCUUCGGCUCCCGCAGAGCUGCUAAGUCUGGAAUCUGUACCCUGGAGGGG